CGGAUAUGACUCCUCAUCGCAUGGUGGGGGGUGGAAAGCUUUUUGUGGUUUUGGAUGGACUCGCGGCCUAUCAGCUUGUUGGUGAGGUAAUGGCUCACCAAGGCGACGACGGGUAGCCGGCCUGAGAGGGUGACCGGCCACACUGGGACUGAGACACGGCCCAGACUCCUACGGGAGGCAGCAGUGGGGAAUAUUGCACAAUGGGCGAAAGCCUGAUGCAGCGACGCCGCGUGAGGGAUGACGGCCUUCGGGUUGUAAACCUCUUUCAGUAGGGAAGAAGCGAAAGUGACGGUACCUGCAGAAGAAGCGCCGGCUAACUACGUGCCAGCAGCCGCGGUAAUACGUAGGGCGCAAGCGUUAUCCGGAAUUAUUGGGCGUAAAGAGCUCGUAGGCGGUUUGUCGCGUCUGCUGUGAAAGACCGGGGCUCAACUCCGGUUCUGCAGUGGGUACGGGCAGACUAGAGUGAUGUAGGGGAGACUGGAAUUCCUGGUGUAGCGGUGAAAUGCGCAGAUAUCAGGAGGAACACCGAUGGCGAAGGCAGGUCUCUGGGCAUUAACUGACGCUGAGGAGCGAAAGCAUGGGGAGCGAACAGGAUUAGAUACCCUGGUAGUCCAUGCCGUAAACGUUGGGCACUAGGUGUGGGGGACAUUCCACGUUUUCCGCGCCGUAGCUAACGCAUUAAGUGCCCCGCCUGGGGAGUACGGCCGCAAGGCUAAAACUCAAAGGAAUUGACGGGGGCCCGCACAAGCGGCGGAGCAUGCGGAUUAAUUCGAUGCAACGCGAAGAACCUUACCAAGGCUUGACAUGGGCCGGAUCGCCGCAGAAAUGUGGUUUCCCCUUUGGGGCCGGUUCACAGGUGGUGCAUGGUUGUCGUCAGCUCGUGUCGUGAGAUGUUGGGUUAAGUCCCGCAACGAGCGCAACCCUCGUUCUAUGUUGCCAGCACGUGAUGGUGGGGACUCAUAGGAGACUGCCGGGGUCAACUCGGAGGAAGGUGGGGACGACGUCAAAUCAUCAUGCCCCUUAUGUCUUGGGCUUCACGCAUGCUACAAUGGCCGGUACAAAGGGUUGCGAUACUGUGAGGUGGAGCUAAUCCCAAAAAGCCGGUCUCAGUUCGGAUUGGGGUCUGCAACUCGACCCCAUGAAGUCGGAGU
rnacentral:rRNA from 1 species